ACUGCCUCUACAGCAAGUAGGUUGAAUAUUUUUGUUUGUUUCUUUUUUAUUUAGCUAAAAUAUCAGCUGGGUGGAACUUCCAGCUUAAUUUUGGUAUAUGGACUGAUCCCUCCUGACUGGAUUGGAUUCAUGAUCACCUAGUUGACUACAAAAAUGCAAUGAUAGGUGCUAGAAAGGGAUAAGAUGCUGGAAAGGGACAAUAGGAACAUGUUCUCUUUCUCUAUGGUCCUCUAUGAAGAGAUCACCUUAAACACUGUUUGUUGUGUACAUUCUGAGUUGGUUCAUAUACUUUAAUGAAGGAAUACCAACAUUCUUGUGUAAUCAGAUACAGAAGUAACUUUACGUUUUUGCACAUUUGCUAACUAGUGCUACUUUGAUCCCCAAAACCCCAUUGAGGCCAACUACCAGUAAGCAAUACAUUUGGUUUGCAGUUGCAAUAAUUUCAUUCACACAUAUAAUAUAAAGCUCUCUUUCACCAGAUUCAACCACUUCUUUGACCCCCACGGCAACAAUAUCAGGUUUGACUGCUACUUUGACCCCUGGCACCCCACAGAGUUCAACUGAAAUGACUCUAUUAUGGCUUGCUGCAGUGGGUGUGGGUUCCGGAGUGGGCAUAUUCCUGGUGGGACUGACCGCUGUCUGUCUAUGUAUGAAGACCAAAAGAGACACAUCUCAGAGACCUCAAGCCCAACAAGACGAUCAUUACCAACGAAUUGUGAUGGGAACCAAAAGGACGGGAAGCAUGGUGGAUUCAGGGAAUGAGGGGCUUUGUUCUCUCAUCCCCUCUGAAGCAUCCACGUUCAUACUCUCAGGUCCUGUUGGAGAGAACGGAGAAACAUCUGAAUAUGUUAAUCCUGAUAUAUACCAUGUCUACUCUUCAAUCCCGAACAGACCAGCAGUCUCGGGCCAUAAGGACAACAUCACUGGCUUUCUGUAGAUACAGUCUUGUGUACAGUUAUGUUUUAUUUUUGCUCUUUAUUCAAUCUCUUUGUAUUUGAAAUAAAACAAUGACAGUGGUGUAAAAAUAUAGUAUUAUUGUAUUAGGUGAACAAUAGAAAAAUCACAGAAUGGUUUGUACAUAUUUUCCCAUAGGGAGCCAUGUGUAUUUCGGCAGUUGUCUUCAAAGCUGAUUCUUAUUAGAUUGUUUUUGAUUGCUUGCAAUAAAAUUGACUGCCC
ensembl:lncRNA